rnacentral:ncRNA from 2 species
UUCUUAUCAAGAGAGGUAGAGGGACUGGCCCUGUGAUACCCGGCAACCUUAUUGUUUUCAAUGGUGCUAAUUCCAGCAGGCAUGUAUUUGCUUGACAGAUGAGAA